rnacentral:rRNA from 1 species
UACGGAGGGUGCGAGCGUUGUUCGGAGUUACUGGGCGUAAAGCGUGCGUAGGCGGUUUUGUAAGUUUGGUGUGAAAUCUCCCGGCUCAACUGGGAGGGUGCGCCGAAAACUGCAAGGCUGGAGUGUGGGAGAGGUAGGCGGAAUUCCUGGUGUAGCGGUGAAAUGUGUAGAGAUCGGGAGGAACACCGGUGGCGAAGGCGGGUCUCUGGGCAUUUCCUGACGCUGAGGCGCGAAAGCGUGGGGAGCAAACAGG